GGCGGUUCUCGGGUGAUGCACCCUGGAAUCGGGCUCCCUCCUCUCUGGUUCCGGGUGUGUCACCCAAGAACCACA
rfam:Myotis davidii contig2493, whole genome shotgun sequence.